AUCGCCAAGGGANCGGCCCGCGUNGGAUUAGGUANUNGGUGGGGUAAUGGCCUACCAAGCCGACGAUCCAUAGCUGGUUUGAGAGGAUGAUCAGCCACACUGGGACUGAGACACGGCCCAGACUCCUACGGGAGGCAGCAGUGGGGAAUCUUAGACAAUGGGGGAAACCCUGAUCUAGCCAUGCCGCGUGAUCGAUGAAGGCCUUAGGGUUGUAAAGAUCUUUCAGGUGGGAAGAUAAUGACUGUACCACCAGAAGAAGCCCCGGCUAACUCCGUGCCAGCAGCCGCGGUAAUACGGAGGGGGCUAGCGUUAUUCGGAAUUACUGGGCGUAAAGCGCACGUAGGCGGACCAGAAAGUCAGAGGUGAAAGCCCGGGGCCCAACCCCGGAACUGCCUUUGAAACUCCUGGUCUUGAGGUCGAGAGAGGUGAGUGGAAUUCCGAGUGUAAAGGUGAAAUUCGUANAUAUUCGGANGAACACCANUGGCGANNGCGGCUCACUGNCUCGAUACUGACGCUGAGGUGCGAAAGCGUGGGGANCAAACAGGAUUANAUACCCUGNUAGUCCACGCCGUANACGAUGAAUGCCNNACGUCNGGUANCAUGCUAUUCGGUGUCACACCUANCGNA
rnacentral:rRNA from 1 species